rnacentral:rRNA from 1 species
UACAGAGGGCUCAAGCGUUGUUCGGAUUCAUUGGGCGUAAAGGGUGCGUAGGCGGCGCGGUAAGUCGGGUGUGAAAUCUCGGAGCUUAACUCCGAAACUGCAUUCGAUACUGCCGUGCUUGAGGACUGGAGAGGAGACUGGAAUUUACGGUGUAGCGGUGAAAUGCGUAGAUAUCGUAAGGAACACCAGUGGCGAAGGCGGGGCUCUGGACAGUUCCUGACGCUGAGGCACGAAGGUCAGGGGAGCAAACGGG